rnacentral:rRNA from 1 species
AGCGAACGCUGGCGGCAGGCCUAACACAUGCAAGUCGAACGGAUCCUUCGGGAUUAGUGGCGGACGGGUGAGUAACACGUGGGAACGUGCCCUUUGGUUCGGAACAACUCAGGGAAACUUGAGCUAAUACCGGAUGUGCCCUUCGGGGGAAAGAUUUAUCGCCAUUGGAGCGGCCCGCGUCUGAUUAGCUAGUUGGCGAGGUAACGGCCCACCAAGGCGACGAUCAGUAGCUGGUCUGAGAGGAGGAUCAGCCACACUGGGACUGAGACACGGCCCAGACUGCGGCGGGAGGACGCAGUGGGGAAUAUUGGACAAUGGGCGAAAGCCUGAUCCAGACAUACCGCGUGGGUGAAGAAGGCCUUCGGGUGGUAAAGCCUUUUUGUUGGGAAAGAAAAGCAGCAGGUUAAUACCCUGCUGUUCUGACGGUACCCAAAGAAUAAGCACCGGCUAACUUCGUG